rnacentral:pre_miRNA from 1 species
UAACUCAUGUUGGAGAAGCAGGGCACGUGCAAAUUCUUGUAUUCGACAAUAUAUGCAUUACUAAUGGUAAUGCAUGAAUUUUGCACGUGUUCUCCUUCUCCAACCCGAAUUU